AUGCCUGGGAAAAGCAAAUUUCAAGGCGCGUGGCUUCACAACGAGGCUUACAAAGACUGGAUUGCACUAGAUACGACGAGUGAGCACCGUGCAAGAUGCAGGCCUUGCGGAAAGACCUUCGAUAUCACCAACAUGGGCGAGUCGGCGUUUAAGAGCCACAUGAAGAGUGCUAAGCAUGCUGGCGUCAUGGAGAUUGCAGCCAACAGUUCGGUGCGAAGGUACUUAGUUCCAAGUACGGGGAAACAGUCAGCCGUCCCACCUCCUUCGCAAUCGGGAAAUCUAGACGAUGCUUGCAAGGCACACGAGCUGGUGACGAACGCAGAGAUUCUGUGGACUUUGAAAGUUGUCACAUCGCAUUUCUCCUAUCGGUCGUCGUCGGAAGCAGGCCAGCUAUUCCAGCGUAUGUUCCCGGACAGUGGCGUGGCCAAAGCAUUUUCUUACGGAGAGAAAAAAUGUGCGUAUGUGACGUGCCAUGGUCUGAGGCCCUUCUUUUUAUCUGCUCUGCAACGGGAUAUAAAAGAUUGCGAUUACUACGUGGUACUCUUCGACGAGUCCACGAACGACUAUCUCCAGCGGAAACAAUUGGAUGUUCACAUCCGGUUUUGGAAUUCGUCUCACAAGGUGGCAACGAGGUACUAUACCUCGGUGUUUAUGGGGCACUCGACAUCCGAAGACAUCCAAGGAACGCUGCUGACUGCGCUCGAGCCUUUCCCUCUUGAGAAAAUUCUUCAGAUUUCAAUGGAUGGUCCCAAUGUUAACCUGAAGUUACUCGAGAAUUUCCAAGAGCACCUGCAUCAAGCAUACCAAGUUCAAUGUCUGGACAUUGGGACUUGUGGCCUCCACACCAUGCACAACGCCUACAGGGCGGGUGUUACAGCAAGUAAGUGGGGACUUGACUGUCUGCUCUCCAGUCUGAGCGCGCUUUUCCAUGGUUCUCCUGCAAGAAGGGAGGACUUCUCAGCAGUUACCUGUCAGGAAACUUUUCCCCUGAACUUAGUUGCCCACCGGUGGUUGGAGAAUGUGCCUGUGAUAGAGAGAGCCUUGCUCUUGUGGUGUGACAUUAAGAAGUUUAUUGCAGCUGCAAGGAAGAAGGAAGUAAGCCCCCCCAAAGUGUGGAUCAUUUCACAACUUGUGCGAGUUUGCUAGUGAUGACCUAUUGCUAGCAAAGCUUCAAUUUGCACUGGGUGUGGCCAUGACCCUCAAGCCAUUCCUCACUGAGUAUCAAACGGAUCAGCCCAUGGUGUUCUUUCUUGCAAGAGACUUGGAAACUGUGGUCAGGAAGCUACUGACGAAGUUUCUGAAGUGCUCGGUCUUGUCUUCAGCAAAAGGAGCCACUGGUCUGCUGAUGGUGGACAUAGAAAGCACAGAGAACCACACUCCACUUGAAAAGGUGGAUGUAGGCCAUGCCGCUGAACAGACUGUCCGGAAAACUAAAGCAAGCCAAAAGGACGUGUUCCAGUUCCGCAUGGAAUGCAAACGCUUCUUGGUCAGCGUGACAAAGAAGGUGCUUGAGAGAAGUCCACUGAGAUUCCCAAUCGUGAGGAAUUUGUCCUCUCUGGACCCACGACAAAUGUGUACUAAACCAGAUGAGUGCCUGGCCAGCUUCAGAAGAGUGUUGGAUGCCCUCAUUACAGCGGGAAGAAUGUCUGAGCACCAAAGAGACACUGUACUAGGGGAGUACACCGAGUUCCUGCAGGAAGAGAUGCAUAACCUGCGAAUGUUUGAGGAGAACGUAAACAGGUUGGACGAGUUCUUGACUGAGCUGAUGCAGUUUAAUUCAUCAUGUGGGGAACUGUGGAAGGUUGUCAAACUUUUGCUCGUGCUCAGCCACGGACAGGCCACUGUGGAGCGAGGGUUUAGCGUGAACCGCCAGGUUGCUGUAGAAAACCUGAAGGACCUGUCGUACAUUUCGCAACGUAUUGUGUGCGAUGCUGUGGACAAGGCAGGGGGCGUCCUUAAUGUCCCUAUUACAAAAGAGCUGAGGACUGCUGUAUCAGCUGCCCGGCAGCAGUAUGCUGCAUAUCUGGAAGCAGAAAAAAAGAAGCAAUGUGAUGAUGUAAGGGAAUCAAAGAGGCGCUGCAUUGACAAAGAGAUUGACGCAAUGAAAAAAAAGAAAAAGAAACUCGAGGCAACAAUAGCUGACCUCCAGGUUUCAGCGGAUACCUAUGCCGAAAAGGCAGAAGCAGCAAAUGAUCUGAAGUAUGUGGUCAGAUCAAAUAGUCUGAGGAAGGCUGCACGAAGCAAGGCUGAGGAACUGUGUAGCCUCAACCAGAAGAUUCAGGAAAAGCGGCAGGAGCUCCCCUGAAGUUGCAAUUAGCACUUUUGCAGAUUGGAUUGCUGUUCGACAUUGGUGCAGUGCAUUGGAGUGUGUUUUUCUAGACAGAACAUAUAUUAUGUUGGUUUAGUGCAAUACAAUCUGUUCCUUGAAAUGUUUUUCUUCGACUUGGUUCAGUAAUAUUAUGUUGGUUUAGUGCAAUACAAGCUGUUCCUUGAAAUGAUUUUUUUUCGAAUUUGUUCAGUAACAUUAUCUUGGUUUAGUGCAAUAUAAGCUGUUCCUUUAAGUGUUUUUUUUUUUCGACUUUGUUCAGUAAAAUUUGUACCUGAUAUUGAAAACUGCUGCAUGUAGCAUUGUGUCGAGUCCUUGAAAAUACUCCCACUGAGCCUUGAAAUUCCUUGAAUAUCCUUGAAUUUUCCCCUUUUGAGUCUGUACGAACCCUGUGAACUGAAUUUGUGGCAUUCCUCGUGAUGUCUACAACACGCACUGCGCAAUGUGGCAUCAAACUGAAGACACCUGAGUUUGUCCCACUACCUGGGACCACUGCCAAAUUGUAAACACUGCUGGUAGCCAGUGUUUACAAUUUCCUGCAAGUGCAAGAUACUGACUGCCUCUAUGACCAAAAUUCAUCAUUCAGGGCCUUGUUUAUGCAGUCACAACCUCAUUUGAGCCCUGAACAACCCAGGUGCUACAGUCCUGAUCCUGAGCAGUACCAGCAGACGAGGAGCUCAAAGAAGUUUUGUCGGAGUGUAAAGAUGUCUCCAAGCCAGAACCAGGCCAAUUCAACAUUCUGCCCAUUCACCUGUACAUCAAAGGAGGAGCCCUUCCAAAAUCUGUCAAGCCAAGGCCACUGUCGUACACAAAGGGAGACAAGCAUGGAGGCCUUCCAGCUGUCAGGCUGCAGCUAUGCAAAGUGACAAGUCACAUCAAGGAUGCCGCCACCACUGUAACUUCUGUGACUAUAAGACUGAUAGUAUGUCUCAUCUGAAAACACACACCAUGUUCCAUACAGGCGAGCGGCCGUUCGAGUGCCAUUUGUGCCCUCAGAGCUUUGUACUAAAGCAUGAUCUCACGGUACACCUGCGCACUCACAAUGGGGCCAGGCCAUUUCAGUGCCCUUCAUGCCCUCGGAGCUUCGCACAAAAGGGUAAUCUCGUGGUACACCUGCGCAUUCACAAUGGGGUGAGGCCAUUGCAGUGCCCUUCAUGCGCUUGGAGCUUCUCGCGCAAGAGUCAUCUCAGGGCACACUUCCGCACUCAUACAGGCGAGAGGCCAUUUCAGUGCCACUUAUGCCUUACGACCUUUAAAAUUAAAAGCAGCCUAAACAGGCACCUGAGCCAUCACAAAGGCAAAUGACCCUUUCAAUGCUAGUUCUGCUUUUACAUCUUUUUUGGAAACGGCAUACUUUACUUGUAAUUCAAGAACACUUUGCAAGUACUGAAGAAGUUGUGUAAGACAAGUAACAAGCUGUGGGUCUAGUACCAAAGAUAUGCCUUCAUCAUUACAAUUUGAGGAUUCCUAUACAUGUAGCAAACUUCUGCAAUGUAGACUGUGCUGUUAGUGCACAUGCAUAGCUUCAUGCUAUUCUGUGAUAGCACUUGUUUACGCUUGCACUGAGUUUUACUUGAUUGUAUUUGUUUGUCUGAUUUUGAUGUGUGGCUAUUAAGAGGCAACAGCCACAAAAUAAAUGAUGCUUGCUCUGGCAGCCUACA